GAUGAACGCUGGCGGCGUGCCUAAUACAUGCAAGUCGAGCGAACAGACGAGUUGCUUGCUCCUCUGACGUUAACGGCGGACGGGAGAGUAACACGUGGAUAACCUAACUAUAAGACUGGGAUAACUUAGUGAAACCAGAGCUAAUACGGGAUAAUAUAUUCAACCUCAUGGUUCGAUAGUGUAAGACGGUUUUGAUGUCACCUAUACAUGUAUGCGCGCCGCAUUGGUUAGUUCGUAAGGUAGCGGCUUACCAUGGCAGGCGUGCGUAGCCGACCGGCGAGCGUGAUCGGGCACACUGGAACUGAGACACGGCCCUGACUCCUAGGGACGGCACAGAUAGGGAAGCGUCGGAAAAGGGCGAAAGACUGAAGGAGCAGCGCAGGGUGGGUGAAGAAGGGCUUCGGGUCGGAAAACGCUGUUAUUGGGGAAGAACAAAUUUGUAAGGGACUAUGCACGUCUUGACGGUACCUGAUCAGAAAGCAACGGCUAACUACGUG
rnacentral:rRNA from 1 species